CCCUUAGACGUUCUGGGCCGCACGCGCGCUACACUGAUGCAUUCAACGAGUCUAAAACCUGGUCUGAUAGGGCUGGGUAAUCUUUUGAAUGUGCAUCGUGAUUGGGAUAGAUGAUUGCAAUUCUUCAUCUUCAACGAGGAAUGCCUAGUAAACGCAAGUCAUCAGCUUGCAUUGAUUACGUCCCUGCCCUUUGUACACACCGCCCGUCGCUCCUACCGAUUGAAUGUUCCGAUGAAUACCAUGGACUGAGAGUAUGAAUGGGUUCGCCUAUUUCUGCUUCUCGGGAAGUGGAGUAAAUCUUAACAUUUAGAGGAAGGAGAAGUCGUAACA
rnacentral:rRNA from 1 species